rnacentral:rRNA from 1 species
GCUAAACGCGAAGAACCUUACCCAGGCUUGACAUACGGUAGACAGUAUCAGAGAUGAUAUCUUCCUUCGGGACUGCCGUACAGGUGCUGCAUGGCUGUCGUCAGCUCGUGCCGUGAGGUGUUGGGUUAAGUCCCGCAACGAGCGCAACCCUUAUCAUUAGUUGCCAACACGUAAAGGUGGGAACUCUAGUGAGACUGCCCGGGGUUAACCGGGAGGAAGGUGAGGAUGACGUCAAGUCCGCAUGGCCCUUAUGCCUGGGGCUACACACGUGCUACAAUGGUCGGUACAGAAGGUAGCGAGACCGAGAGGUGGAGCAAAUCCGAAAAGCCGAUCCCAGUUCAGAUUGUAGUCUGCAACUCGACUACAUGAAGAUGGAAUUGCUAGUAAUGGCGAGUCAGCAACAUCGCCGUGAAUACGUUCCCGGGUCUUGUACACACCG